GACGAACGCUGGCGGCGUGCUUAACACAUGCAAGUCGAACGGAAAGGCCCUGCUUUUGUGGGGUGCUCGAGUGGCGAACGGGUGAGUAACACGUGAGUAACCUGCCCUUGACUUUGGGAUAACUUCAGGAAACUGGGGCUAAUACCGGAUAGGAGCUCCUGCUGCAUGGUGGGGGUUGGAAAGUUUCGGCGGUUGGGGAUGGACUCGCGGCUUAUCAGCUUGUUGGUGGGGUAGUGGCUUACCAAGGCUUUGACGGGUAGCCGGCCUGAGAGGGUGACCGGAGAGGUGGGGAGGGGGAGCCGGGCAAGGCGCGGAGAGGAGGUAGGGAGGGGGAAGAGGGACGGAGGGGCGGAGGACGGGGGGGGGACGGCCGGGGGGGGGAGGCCGGCCGACGGGUAGGACCCGGCUGGGGCCGGGGAGGAGGGGGGGGGGACGGUAAGGGGGAAAUACGCGCGGGCGACGUAGGUGCCAGCAGGGGCGUGAUAAGCGGAGCAGCACACGACUGCAC
rnacentral:rRNA from 1 species